CCUAGGUUCCUAACUGAUGACAAAGAAUUGACAGAGCAGCCAUCAAGUCUUAGAGAGUGCUCUAGGUUAUUACAUGCAGAGAUUUUAGGUCCUAUAAUUAGCACUUCUGUUUUUCAGAAUUUAGCAGUAAGAAAUUACUCGUCUUCCGUUUUUCUAUAUCAACUAUGCAUUCCAUUAGUUUUUCAAAUUGGUGUGUUUCACCGGGCCAUGAAGAAAUACAGAGCUGAGUAUCAUCAGCGUAACAGUGAAUGCUAACACCAUGUUUCCUAAUGAUAUCUCCCAAGGGUAAUAUAUAAAGCGUGAAGAGUAGCGGCCCUAGUACUGAGCCUUGAGGUUAUCCAUACUGCACUUGUAACACCUGAUGGACUUGCUACAUCAUUAGAUGAAUGGCAUCUACGCUAAUAUUAGUCUGUUUCUCUCUUAUUCCGAGGUCACCGUAGCCACCAGAUCCAGUAUGUAUCCAGAUCAGAGGGUCACUACAGUCACCCAGAUCCAGACCGGACCUCUACAGCCCUGAAUGACAGUGGAGACCAGGACAACUACAGCGCCAGAUACAGAUCCCCUGUAAAGACCUUGUCUCAGAUGACCACCAGGACAAGACCACAGGAAACAGAUGAUUCUUCUGCACAAUCUGACUUUGCUGCAGCCUGGAAUUGAACUACUGGUUUCGUCUGGUCAGAGGAGAACUGGCCCCCCAACUGAGCCUGGUUUCUCCCAAGGUUUUUUUCUCCAUUCUGUCACCGAUGGAGUUUCGGUUCCUUGCCGCUGUCGCCUCUGGCUUGCUUAGUUGGGGUCACUUCAUCUACAGCGAUAUCAUUGACUUGAUUGCAAAUUAAAACAGACACUAUUUCAACUGAACAGAGAUGACAUAACUGAAUUCAAUGAUGAACUGCCUUUAACUAUCAUUUUGCAUUAUUGAGACACUGUUUUCCAAAUGAAUGUUGUUCAGUGCUUUGGCGCAAUGUAUUUUGUUUAAAGCACUAUAUAAAUAAAGGUGAUUGAUUGAU